rnacentral:tRNA from 1 species
GUCCGAGUGGCGGAAUUGGCAGACGCGCUAGCUUGAGGUGCUAGUGCCCUUAUUUGGGCAUGGGGGUUCAAGUCCCCCCUCGGACA